rnacentral:rRNA from 2 species
GUGCCUAAUACAUGCAAGUCGAACGCUUUUAUUCAAUCAUCGUAGCUUGCUACACCGAUUGAAAAUUGAGUGGCGAACGGGUGAGUAACACGUGGGUAACCUGCCCAAAAGAGGGGGAUAACACUUGGAAACAGGUGCUAAUACCGCAUAACCAUGAUGACCGCAUGGUCAUUAUGUAAAAGAUGGUUUCGGCUAUCACUUUUGGAUGGACCCGCGGCGUAUUAACUUGUUGGUGGGGUAACGGCCUACCAAGGUGAUGAUACGUAGCCGAACUGAGAGGUUGAUCGGCCACAUUGGGACUGAGACACGGCCCAAACUCCUACGGGAGGCAGCAGUAGGGAAUCUUCCACAAUGGGCGCAAGCCUGAUGGAGCAACGCCGCGUGAGUGAAGGAAGGUCUUCGGAUCGUAAAACUCUGUUGUUAGAGAAGAACAUGCAGGAGAGUAACUGUUCUUGUAUUGACUGUAUCUAACCAGAAAGCCACGGCUAACUACGAUGCCAGCUGCCGCGGUCAUACGUACGUGGC